UGGUAGUCCACGCUGUAAACGAUGUCGAUUUGAAGGUUGUUCCCUUGAGGAGUGGCUUUCGGAGCUAACGCGUUAAAUCGACCGCCUGGGGAGUACGACCGCAAGGUUAAAACUCAAAUGAAUUGACGGGGGCCCGCACAAGCGGUGGAGCAUGUGGUUUAAUUCGAUGCAACGCGAAGAACCUUACCUACUCUUGACAUCCAGAGAACUUAGCAGAGAUGCUUUGGUGCCUUCGGGAACUCUGAGACAGGUGCUGCAUGGCUGUCGUCAGCUCGUGUUGUGAAAUGUUGGGUUAAGUCCCGCAACGAGCGCAACCCUUAUCCUUUGUUGCCAGCGAUUCGGUCGGGAACUCAAAGGAGACUGCCGGUGAUAAACCGGAGGAAGGUGGGGAUGACGUCAAGUCAUCAUGGCCCUUACGAGUAGGGCUACACACGUGCUACAAUGGCGUAUACAAAGAGAAGCGACCUCGCGAGAGCAAGCGGAACUCAUAAAGUACGUCGAAGUCCGGAUUGGAGUCUGCAACUCGACUCCAUGAAGUCGGAAUCGCUAGUAAUCGUAGAUCAGAAUGCUACGGUGAAUACGUUCCCGGGCCUUGUACACACCGCCCGUCACACCAUGGGAGUGGGUUGCAAAAGAAGUAGGUAGCUUAACCUUCGGGAGGGCGCUUACCACUUUGUGAUUCAUGACUGGGGUGAAGUCGUAA
rnacentral:rRNA from 1 species